rnacentral:siRNA from 1 species
GGGCAUAUGAUGAAAUUA